GAUGAACGCUAGCUACAGGCUUAACACAUGCAAGUCGCGGGGCAGCAUGGGGGUUGCUUGCAAUCCCCGAUGGCGACCGGCGCACGGGUGAGUAACGCGUAUCCAACCUGCCCUUCACCACGGGAUAACCCGGCGAAAGUCGGACUAAUACCGUAUGUUGUCCAUUGACGGCAUCCGAUUUGGACGAAAGGUUUGGCGGUGAAGGAUGGGGAUGCGUCCGAUUAGCUGGACGGCGGGGUGACGGCCCACCGUGGCGACGAUCGGUAGGGGUUCUGAGAGGGAGGUCCCCCACACUGGAACUGAGACACGGUCCAGACUCCUACGGGAGGCAGCAGUGAGGAAUAUUGGUCAAUGGGCGUAAGCCUGAACCAGCCAAGUAGCGUGCAGGAUGACGGCCCUAUGGGUUGUAAACUGCUUUUAUGCGGGGAUAAAGUGGCCCACGUGUGGGUUUUUGCAGGUACCGCAUGAAUAAGGACCGGCUAAUUCCGG
rnacentral:rRNA from 1 species